rnacentral:rRNA from 1 species
CGGGUGAGUAACACGUAUCCAACCUGCCGUCUACUCUUGGACAGCCUUCUGAAAGGAAGAUUAAUACAAGAUGGCAUCAUGAGUCCACAUGUUCACAUGAUUAAAGGUAUUCCGGUAGACGAUGGGGAUGCGUUCCAUUAGAUAGUAGGCGGGGUAACAGCCCACCUAGUCUUCGAUGGAUAGGGGUUCUGAGAGGAAGGUCCCCCACAUUGGAACUGAGACACGGUCCAA